rnacentral:misc_RNA from 1 species
GAUGAAGAACGUAGCGAAAUACGAUAAGUAGUGUGAAUUGCAGAAUUCAGUGAAUCAUCGAAUCUUUGAACGCACAUUGCGCCCUUUGGUAUUCCAAAGGGCAUGCCUGUUCGAGCGUCAUUUGUACCCUCAAGCUUUGCUUGGUGUUGGGCGUCUUGUCUCUAGCUUUGCUGGAGACUCGCCUUAAAGUAAUUGGCAGCCGGCCUACUGGUUUCGGAGCGCAGCACAAGUCGCACUCCCUAUCAGCAAAGGUCUAGCAUCCACUAAGCCUUUUUUUCAACUUUUGACCUCGGAUCAGGUAGGGAUACCCGCUGAACUUAAGCAUAUCAAUAAGCGGAGGA